AUGAGUAAACAAUAUAGAAUUUUAAGGAGUCGUUGUCACCGUCUACUGCAGUCGAUGUUGUCGUUCCCCGAAAUCCCAAUUCUAUUGAUCAAACUAAAUAUUCAGGUUCAUACGAACGUCUGUUACGUGCGUACCUAGGAAUGGGCCGGAUUAGAACCGACCAAGAAAAGGCAAGUCAAGUGCCAUUCUUCUAGGCCAAAGAAAGAUAUACAAAUUUGUUUAAAGGGAUAAUGGAAAAUGAAAAACUCAAUUUGAAAUCUUGUAUUCCCUUCAUAUAUAGUAUAGAUACAAGGGUAAUGAUUAGUUUUUAAAAAAGGUGUCAAAAGCCAAUAUAUAUAUGCUAAAAGCUAGAAAAUGAUCAAUCAACUUUCUAUUUGAUACAAGCAAAUGAGAAUAAACAUGACUGCAGCAAUUCUCAAGUUUGUCUAUACUAUAAUCAUAUAUCUUUUCCUACUUCGUGUUGUAGCCAAAGAUUUACAUCGACGGCAAUUAAACAUAUUGCCUAUAUUAUGCAUGUGUUGUUAUUAGUGGUUUGAAAUGUCACUGCAUGCAAAAGUAUAAAUGAAUUGUAAUAAAUAAAUAAAGGUGAUGUGAUUAUGUAAAACCAUUAUUAUUAAAUGAUGACAAUAUAUUGAUCAUGUAAUUAUACUAUGUAUACCGUUUAUUUUUACUCAAUAUGCAUACACUUAUAAACAUAAAUACAUCUAUUGAAUACAAUUCUAAUCAUAAAAAUUACAUAUUAAACCAAAUAAUACAUUUUUGUGUGGGUACAACACCACUCAAAUUUAUGAUAAAACAAAAGUAACAAAGCAUCUAUUAGACAUCCUUUAAAAAAAGUAUCUAUUAGACACAACUCUAAAUUAUGUAUGAUUAAUAUUAUAUUUGCAUCUACUGAGCGUAAUUUCAAUUUUAUGCAUAUAUAAAUGUUUCACUAGAAGACGUUCGUAGCAAAUUCCCCAGCAAACAUUUUUUUGCAGUUUUCUUCGAACCCUAGAACCAUAAAAUAUAUCCUUUUUAUAUUUUGUACAAGAAAAUAUAAAAAUUGCAUUUUGAGACUUUCAACUCGUAUCUUGCACAAGAAAAUAUAAAAAAGUUUUAAAAAUGUCACUUUUAAGGGUCGAACUCGCAAAUUGGCUCGUUGAUAAAAAUAUGGCAUGUCAUUGCGGAAAGGUUAAAAUAUGUUACAAUUUAUUACAUAUAUGAUUCAUAUUUGAAGAAAACAAGGUUUACCGUCAGCUAUAGGAAAUGAUAUACCUGUAAAAGCACUCUGAUACCAAAGUCAGGAAGUGUGCUAGUGUAGCGAUUGAGUGACUCUCAUGAGAUAUGGUGAUCAUACAUGGGGGAACGAUCAUUUGUUUAUAGUAAUGUGCUCUAGUUGUGCACUCAUAUUGGUGGCCAAUUUUGCUCUUGAGGUUGCUUUAGAUAUUCUUCAGUUUGUUUAUGGAAACUGAAACAAGAUAGGUGGUGCAUUUUUUAUUUGAGUUCAUUUCCUGAUGCUAGGAAAACUAGAUGUUUAUUUAAUUAUGUGUUGAUGCUAAAAACAUUGGAACACGUCUAUGUUGUUAGAUUCUUGAUGUGGAGUCGAGAUGAUCUUAUGUAUAUUGCAGGAGAUAAAGCUCCCCCGUUACAUCAUGCAUUAUGCUGAGGUGAGAACCUCAAAUAGUUUGUCUUUUUGGGCCUCAUUAUUGGGACUUUCAAGGGUGGCUUUGUUUUUGGACUCUUGAUGAGAUGACUUAAGCUAAUAGUCUUACACAAACCCCUUAAACCAUUAGUUAUGUUAACAAAUUUAAUGAGUCUAAAUUGUAUGAAAUUGUAGGGUUAAUAGGUUUUACCCCCCUGCCAUUUUGAUGAAAUUUGAUUUACUCAUUGUAAAAAAAAGUUUGAGAUUCCACUUGUAAUUUGAAGAUUCGUUGGUUUUCAACCCUGGGUGCAUCUGAUUGUGCAAAGAAUCUAAUAUGGCAUGUUGAUUGGAUAUUUUUAACGA